GUGCUUGCUUCGGCAGCACAUAUACUAAAAUUGGAAUGAUAAAGAGAAGAUUCGCAUGGCCCCUGCGUAAGGAUAACAUGCAAAUUCGUGAAGCGUUCCAUAUUAAA
rnacentral:snRNA from 1 species